UACGUAGGGGGCGAGCGUUAUCCGGAAUUAUUGGGCGUAAAGAGUACGUAGGUGGUUUUGUAAGCGGCAGGUGAAAGCCCGGGGCUUAACUCCGGCGAGCCUGUCGAACUGCAGGACUUGAGUGCAGGAGGGGAAAGUGGAAUUCCUAGUGUAGCGGUGAAAUGCGUAGAUAUUAGGAGGAACACCAGUGGCGAAGGCGACUUUCUGGACUGUAACUGACACUGAGGUACGAAAGCGUGGGGAGC
rnacentral:rRNA from 1 species